rnacentral:rRNA from 1 species
GACGUAGGAUGCAAGCGUUGUCCGGAUUUAUUGGGCGUAAAGAGUUCGUAGGCUGUUUGUUAAGUCUGGUGUUAAAGACUGAGGCCCAACCUCGGAAAUGCAUCGGAUACUGGCAGACUUGAGUACGGGAGAGGCGAGUGGAAUUCCCAGUGUAGCGGUGAAAUGCGUAGAUAUUGGGAAGAACACCGGUGGCGUAGGCGACUCGCUGGGCCGCAACUGACGCUGAGGAACGAAAGCCAGGGGAGCGAAUGGG